CUGUUAUGAAGUACUUAUAUAUUUAAACUUAUUUCUUUUUUAUCACUAUACUUGCUCUCAUAAGUAUUCCUGGACUCUUACAGAGGAUAGAGAGUAUCUCUUUAAAAUAUGUAUUUCUUUACUUUCCUGAUGAUGUAGUACCUUUGUCAGAUUCUAAAGCAAAUAAUAUCUCUUUUAUCAUCACUGAGUAGCUCAGGAAGGAGUUGAUGGGUUUUGAAAUUUCUUACAAACAUACAGAAACUUCCCAUGUAUUUAAAAUUCUAAUAGAUAUAAUCAAUUAAACUUAGAAACACAAGGUUCUAUUUUGAAAGUCCAGUGCUGCUGUAACAAAUACGUAAACCAUUAAGAGUGAUUCUGGCACUGGUUACAGGCUGGAAGAAUUUUUGAGGAGCAUGAUAGAGAAAGCCUAAGUUGCCUUGAAUAGACUGUCAGCAGAAACUCAAACUUGGACUGUGCUGCCAGUGAGGGCUCAAAAGGGAAUAAGAAACAUGUCAUUGGAAACUUCAGGAAGAGGCUUUCUUGUUGGGUGGUAACAGAAAAUGUAGCAAAAUUGUCUCCUGCAAUUAUGGGAAAAACAGAACAAGUAUGUAAUGAACUGGACUAUCUAGCUAAGAUUCUCAAGCAAAGUGUUGAAGGUACUUCUUGCUGCCCGUCAUAAAAUGCAAGGGAGAGAGAAAAAUUGAGAGAAGAACUGUAAACAAAAAGGAACCAGGACUUGAUGACUUUAAAAAUUCUUAGUCUCUCUGAAUGGCAAAAGAUGUUAGAAUUAGGAAAUGGCUUUCAAGCUUGUGGCCUAGAGAAAAGCCUCGGCCUAGAGCAAAAGCCAGGUAGUGAUUGUACAAGCUUUUAUUAAAACCUCAGGAAGACCAGAGGAUCACAAGAGUAGUCAGUCACAAAGGGUCCCCUCCAGAGAUCAGGGGUAUGCCCCAUAUAACUUGUCCAACAUUAGGACCUUUCCAAGUGUGAGUUGUCCUUUAACCAUCUCUGCAUCCUUAUCCUGGGUGAAGGAGAGCAUGUCUCAAAAAGAACAGUAAAUGUUGCUUUUGUGCAAGGGGAAAUUGACAGGAGACUCACAAUGUAUUUGAGAAAUUUAUGUCAGCAAAAGCACCGCCAACUUAAACUGAAUGGGACAGAAAGAAUACACAAUCAAAGGAGGCUAUUAGAUCUCCAUAAUUAUACUGGCAGGACGCACCUGCAAGCACGUGCUACCUUUCAUGAAAAAGGAAAGAUGACUCUGACGGCAGAACCAAGAGCUAUUAACCAAAGAGUGGAUUAUUCCCAGGCCUUGAAAUCUAAUCAAGGAGCUCUGGCAGGAAUUCGCUAAGCUGAAUUUCAACACUGCUUUGAACUGCUGGCUGAAAGCAGAGAACCCAGGAGAGGAUUCUGGGAAGGUCCUUGGGGAUGGUAAAGCCACCAGAUGGGAGAUAUGAGUUCUCUAAGGGCAAAGACCUGUUCUCGCUUCUUCAUUCUUGUGACAUCAGUGCCUUGAAUGGUGCCUGGCAUAUGGAAGGCAUUUGUGUUUUAACAACCAUCUGGCAAGAUUCCUGAAAUUUUGACACUCACCUCUCAUGAGCCCAGUACAAGCUGGUUUUGGAAUUUGGGUCCAAAGGAGAAGAACAAAAUGCUCAGUGUAUUAGAGGAAUAUCCGAACUCUGAGGAGAACACAAGACUCCUGGUUCCUACUCUAUCCCCUACUCUGGCAGCAGAAGUGCCCUAAAUGGGUCUGAGAAAAACAAGUGGACUUCUUUAACCAUCACAAUAACAAGAAGUGUUCUUUCUAGGCAGCAGAUAAAACACUGGAGAGUGGGGCAGUUGGGAGAAGGGAAGGAACACUACUGAGUACUCCUCAGGACCCAAGCACUGUGUGCAGCGCCUUCCGCCAGUUCCCUCACACAGUGCUUGAGAACCUCUGAAGUAGGCAGUCUGACAGCCAAGAAGUGCUAGAACUGUGUUUUAAAUUGAUCUUCUGGAAACCAAAGACCCUAUGCUGUGCUGAUGCCAUGCCUGUCCUUCACAGAUCAGAACACAGAAGUCUGGAAUUGGGUCAUCCUCACCUCACGACACCCAACACAAGAACGGUUCCCAGCACAGAAGAGAGUCCACAAAUGCUUGUUGAAUACAGUAAUUUCAGAACAAUGAGUUAACAUCUGAGUGUUUGACUUGCAGCGUGUCGGUUGGGAAGAAACUCCACAACUACCCCAGGUCCAGUGAUACUCCUUGAGUCGACUCAGAAGCAGAUAAUGGGAGACACCAAUCCUUGUAUUGUAUUAACAGCUCCUGGUUUACUCAUAAGUGGCACUGCUUGUCAGCACUCUUUGGCACGCUGUGAAGUCAGAUGCAGAAGUUGGAAAUCUGUUUGCUGACUGAGGAGAUAUGAUUGUGCUGAUUAAGAUGUGCAGUGAAGAGACAAGUGAACCCCAUGGCUCAGCGACACAGUGUGGACAGAGGAAUUGUCUUCAUGAACAAGUGUUGGAAGAGAAGACCUGAGGAACACAGAAACAUGGCUGGCCUGAUCCUCGCCAUGCUGUCCAAGAUAGAGCUGGCUUAGGUGGGGUGCCUCUGCCAGGACUGUUUCUGCCUUAAUCCUGCCUUGAAGGCUCAGGUGAACCUGAUUUUGUCUUGGGGUUCAGGGAGGGAACAUCAAGAUAUGGUAGAGGAUACAUAGCACACUUUACCCUGAGCCAGAAUCCCCAGGACAAGACCCUAGCCCCUUCUCCUGACUCCUAACCCCCAGCUGCCAGCUACCCACAAUCCUCCGGGUGUCUUCCUGUGGAAGGUGAAGACUCAGCUAGGAAAAGAAUUGAGCGAUACUGUUGUCAAGGGGGAUUUCACAGGGGUGUUCCAUUGGCCAUUGGGAGAAAAACGUGUAUUAAAAUUUUUUUCUGAGGAAAUUGAAAUCCAAACAUCUGUCUAACCAAGCCUAGAUGGAAAGUGAAUCUUGAUUCCAUAUUAAAAACAUUAGUCCUGAAAGAGAAGAGUAAGUCCUUACGUUAAUAGGAGCAGUGAGGCUUCUCUGCAGGUUUUAGAGUAGUUCUGAGUAAAAAACAAGAGUGGUCAGAAUCCAUUAAGAAUCUGAAAAUAUAGUAUAGCUGAGAACUCUGCUCUCCUCCUUUACUAAAUUAUUUAUCUGGGCUACUGAUAAUUAAUUUCCCGAAUUCCCUAGUUUCCCCACCCUCUCAUUUAUACAUGUGGUUUCUCAGCAAUGGACAGGGAAGGGAGUCUGAGACACAGGGAGUCAUGGGUGGUCUAUGCUCUGGAUGGUGACUAAUUGAGACUUGGCUGUCUUUCAUGAUAUGCCUUUUAUGGAUGGAGGCAAAAGAAGUACUCAGUGAUCUCAAGGAAUACUCCAGGGUCUCCCAGCCAGAUUGGCUAGGAAAAACUGACCAAUAAAUAAACAUUGACUGAGUACCUACUCUGUGGCAGGCACAGUGUAAGGCUUUGGGUAUACAUGGUCCCUGCCUUCACAGAACUCAGUCUGGCGAAGAAGGUAGAUUUUUAAACAAAUAAACACACCAACUUGCAUAAUUUGCAGAUUGUGAUGAAUGAGUAACUACUAUGAGACAGUUAACACUGGGGAUAUGAUACAGAUAGGGGAGUUGGGGUCAAGAAAGUUCUUUCUGAUGAGGUGACAGAUAAAGCCUAGAACACUGCUUCUCAAAUUCCAAUGUGCAUCAGAAUCACCUGGAGAGUUUGUUAAAAAAAUAAAAAAGGUUUUCUGGGUAUCCUCCCCACCAGA